rnacentral:rRNA from 1 species
UGUGCAAGUGCAAGUAAAUAGACGGUAAAACCGCGAACGGCUCAUUAGAACAGUUAUUGUUCGCAAGAAAUGCUAUCCACGUGGGAUAACUGUGGAAAUGCUAGAGCUAAUACAUGCCAUGAUGCUUUGAUUGUUCUCCUCAAAGCACAUUUAUUGGGUUCACACGGUUGGGCAGCGGCAUCGCCGCCUUGUCCCGACAUAUACCGUGAAAGGGAGUAACUAUGACGAUCGCAGGGUCUUAGAACCGGCGACGAAUCUUUGAAAUGACUUGCUCAUCAACUGUCGAUGGUAGGUUACGUGCUUACCAUGGUGAUUACGGUUAACGGAGAAUCAGGGUUCGACUCCGGAGAAGGAGCCUGAGAGACGGCUACUACUUCCAAGGAAGGCAGCAGGCACGCAAAUUACCCACUCCCAGCUCGGGGAGGUAGUGACGAUAAAUAACGGAACGUAUCUCGAUGAGACGCGUUACCGGAACGAUCGAGCCGUAUAUAAGCUGACAUAUACGAGCUCGGCGAAAGCUAUUGGAGGGCAAGUCUGGUGCCAGCAGCCGCGGUAAUCCCAGCUCCAAUAGCGUAUAUUAAAAGUGCUGCGGUUGAACCGCUGGUAGUUGGAUUGUGAGAUAUGGCCACGGUCCUCUGGUCCACGGAAGAUUGGUUUGCCGCCGUCGGCCGUCCAUUAUUCGGGUUGGAUUUGGUUCGUGGAUUUGUUCCGCCAGAUUGCUCCUUUUGUGGAGUGUUCGCCGGGAGACACAUGAACGUCCCACUUUGAACGGAAUUUCAAUAAUCGGCUUCAAAGCGGGCUGCUCCCAGAAAAAGCUUGAAGGGAAUUUCAGGGGGAUGGUGAAAGAGGAUCUCGCUGGUAGUAACAGAGCCGCGAGGUAAUGAUUAAAAGAGACAGACGGUGGCAUUCGUACUGCUACGUUAGAGGGCAUUUGCCUUGAAUGUUUUCAUUAAUCAAGAACGAAAGUUGGAGGAUCGAAGGCGAUCAGAUACCGCCCUAGUUGCGACUUUAAACGAUGCCAACUGGCGAUUCGGCGAUGUCUCUCUGACGACUCGCUGAGCAGCCCCCGGGAAACCAAAGUCUUUCGGUUCCGGGGGAAGUAUGGUUGCAAAGCUGAAACUUAAAGGAAUUGACGGAAGGGCACCACCAGGAGUGGAGCAUGCGGCUUAAUUUGACUCAACACGGGAAAGCUCACCCGUCCAGAACACUGUCAGGAUUGACAGAUUGAGAGCUCUUUCUUGAUUCAGUGGGUAGUGGUGCAUGGCCGUCUAGUGUUGGUGGAGCGAUUUGUCUGGCCAAUCCCGAUAACGAACGAGACUCUGGCCUACUAACUAGUGACGGCGUGGUCUUUUCGCCGAGCACUUCUUAGAGGGACCAGCGGCGGUAGAAAGCCGCACGAGAAAGAGCAAUAACAGGUCUGUUAUGCCCUUAGAUGGACGGGGCUGCACGCGUGCUACACUGAUGGCACCAGCGAGCGUCCAAACUUGGCUUGACAAAGUCAAGAGAUCAAUUGAAAUGUCUGUCGUGACUGGGAUAGGGAAUUGCAAUUAUUUCCCUUGAACGAGGAAUUCCCAGUAAGCGUAAGUCAUCAGCUUGCGUUGACUACGUCCCUGCCCUUUGUACACACCGCCCGUCGCUACUACCGAUUGGAUGAUUUAGUGAAGCCUUUGGAUUGAUGCUGCGCGUCCGAUAGUCUAUUAGUCGGACUGCAGCGUUGAGAAAUUGGCCGAACCAAUUCAUCUAGAGGAAGUAAAAGUCGUAACAAGG